AUACAGCUGACGAGUCCUAAAUGGGACGAAACGCGCGUCCUAAAU
rnacentral:hammerhead_ribozyme from 1 species